rnacentral:lncRNA from 1 species
AUGGGGGAAGGGGCAGAGGUAAAGGAAUUGCCGCCUUAUUUCUGGAAGCACAGCCUCUUUUUUCAAACUCAGCCAAAAAAAAAAAGACUCAGGCAUUUCAGGGUCCCGUCCUUCUCGCUGAUAGGGGAGACGCCACCCCGUCCGCGGGCUCGCCGCGCGCUUCCCUUACAAGGAGCGCGGCUGGAAGCCCUUCCCCACGGUCCGGGCGGACGGAAGGGGCGUCCCCAGGCCUCCUGGGGCGAGACGGCUCCUGGCUCCCAACACCUCCGCCAGGGGCCGCUGCUGCCUCCGCGGGUGAGACGGCGUCACUUCCCGGGGAUUCGGCCUCCAGGAAAGGGACGGCCUCACUUCCAAAAAAGGAAUUUUCACUCAGCGCCCGGUUCCUUGACUCAGCCGCCGCCUGACUCAGCGCCCUUUCCUCUCCACAUCCAGGGCUCCCGGGCUGUUCUAGGAGAGCAUCCUCAGGACAGUCGCGGGCAGGGCCGGGUCCCAGCUGUCCGGCUGUCAUCACCUGCCGUGGGAUUCCUUGGGCUGCUGCUGCCCGCCAGGCCUGGCCCAGGAUGCAGAUGGUCGCAUAAAAAUAGUCAGGGGCCUGGAGGUACCACUGCCGGCUGUUCUGUUGAGCGGAAGCCAGAUGAGAGGGUGGGGAGCGCGGCCUGGGGCGGCUGCAUCAGAAGUGGGCGGUGGGGGUGGGGUGUUCACCCGAUUGGAAAGCCUUGCGACCCCUAGCCCUCCGGGGAAGGAGCAUCUCACCGGACGGUUCUCCUGUUCAUCACUUUCCAAUCAACCCCACUGCACCUGAAACGGGUCAUGUCAGCAGAGCUGCGGGUGCUGGCCCACGACCAGGGUCAGGAAGCCAGGGUCCAGGCAGCGGUUGCCAGUCAGUGAAGCCAGGGGAAGAUGUUCGACCGGCAGCGGUUGUACCUGGGGCAACACAGCUGGGAACUAGGAGAGGGUAGGCUUCGUGUUCAGUAUUCUAAUCCCAGUAAAAUGAACUUAAAAAAUAAAACAAGCUGGAGUCAAACGUGUGGCUGAGGA